rnacentral:rRNA from 1 species
CCUACGGGAGGCAGCAGUGGGGAAUAUUGCACAAUGGGGGAAACCCUGAUGCAGCGACGCCGCGUGAGUGAAGAAGUAAUUCGUUAUGUAAAGCUCUAUCAGCAGGGAAGAAAAUGACGGUACCUGAGUAAGAAGCCCCGGCUAACUACGUGCCAGCAGCCGCGGUCAUACGUAGGGGGCAAGCGUUAUCCGGAUUUACUGGGUGUAAAGGGAGCGUAGACGGCAGUGCAAGUCUGGAGUGAAAGGCGGGGGCUCAACCCCCGGACUGCUCUGGAAACUGUACGGCUGGAGUGCAGGAGAGGUAAGUGGAAUUCCUAGUGUAGCGAUGAAAUGCGUAGAUAUUAGGAGGAACACCAGUGGCGAAGGCGGCUUACUGGACUGUAACUGACGUUGAGGCUCGAAAGCGUGGGGAGCAAACAGGAUUAGAUACCCUGGUAGUC